rnacentral:rRNA from 1 species
UAUGUGAUCGUCUCUCGCAUAUCAAUAAGCGGAGGAAAAGAAACUAACAAGGAUUCCUCUAGUAACGGCGAGUGAAGCGGGAAGAGCUCAAAUUUGAAAUCUUAAAGGGUUUCCCUUUACGAAUUGUAGUUUAAAGAAGUGUUUUCUGUUGAGGUUUAGGUAAAAGUUCUUUGGAAUAGGACAUCAUAGAGGGUGAGAAUCCCGUAUUUGACCUUUACUUUCAACUUUGUGAUACACUUUCAAAGAGUCGGAUUGUUUGGGAAUGCAGUCCAAAAUGGGUGGUAAAUUUCAUCUAAAGCUAAAUAUUGGCGAGAGACCGAUAGCGAACAAGUACCGUGAGGGAAAGAUGAAAAGAACUUUGAAAAGAGAGUUAAACAGUACGUGAAAUUGUCAAAAGGGGAGCGUUUGACACCAGUGUUGUUUUUCUGAAAAUCAAUUAAAGAACUGUUUAUGCUAAGUUGUUUAGACUUUAUCAGCUAACUGUUUAGUUUUGAGCUUUUCUUUAAUGCACUUUUCAGUUAACAAGUCAACAGUCAAUUUCUUUUGCUGUAAAAAAGCUUGAGGAGGUGGCUUGAGAUUCGUCUUAAGUGUUUAUAGCCUCUUGCCUAUGCAGUCGGAGAGAUUGAGGUCUGCAGCGUAGAUCCUUCGGGGCUAAAUGCAUUUGUGCUAAGUUAUAGCAUUUUAUAGACAACUUGUUGACUAUGAUUUGUCUUGUAGCUUACUCGCUUAUGUUAUUUUACCUACGCUUAGGAUGUUGACACACGCGCGUGCUCG